CCUACGGGAGACAGCAGUGAGGAAUAUUGGUCAAUGGGCGUAAGCCUGAACCAGCCAAGUCGCGUGAGGGAUGAAGGUUCUAUGGAUCGUAAACCUCUUUUAUAAGGGAAUAAAGUGUGGGACGUGCCCUGUUUUGUAUGUACCUUAUGAAUAAGGAUCGGCUAACUCCGUGCCAGCAGCCGCGGUAAUACGGAGGAUCCGAGCGUUAUCCGGAUUUAUUGGGUUUAAAGGGUGCGUAGGCGGCCUUUUAAGUCAGCGGUGAAAGUCUGUGGCUCAACCAUAGAAUUGCCGUUGAAACUGGGAGGCUUGAGUAUGUUUGAGGCAGGCGGAAUGCGUGGUGUAGCGGUGAAAUGCUUAGAUAGCACGCAGAACCCCGAUUGCGAAGGCAGCCUGCCAAGCCAUGACUGACGCUGAUGCACGAAAGCGUGGGGAUCAAACAGGAUUAGAUACCCCAGUAGUC
rnacentral:rRNA from 1 species